GACGAACGCUGGCGGCGUGCUUAACACAUGCAAGUCGAACGAAGUGGCGAACGGGUGAGUAACGCGUAAUCAACCUGCCCUUCCGAGGGGGACAACAGUUGGAAACGACUGCUAAUACCGCAUACUGAAGGAGGGGACUGCGUCUGAUUAGCUGGUUGGAGGGGUAACGGCCCACCAAGGCGAUGAUCAGUAGCCGGACUGAGAGGAUGAACGGCCACAUUGGGACUGAGACACGACCCAGACUCCUACGGGGGGCAGAAGUGGGGAAUCUACCGAAAUGGACGAAAAGCUGACGGAGCAACGCCGCGUGAGUGAUGACGGCCUUCGAGUUGUAAAGCUCUGUUAGUCGGGACGCGGUACCGAAAUAGAAAGCCACGGCUAACUACGUGCCAGCAGCCGCGGAAAUUC
rnacentral:rRNA from 1 species